rnacentral:rRNA from 12 species
UUGGGCGACCGUACCGUAUCCUGUCAGAUCUCAGAAGCUAAGCAGGGCCUGGUUAGUGCUUGGACUGGAGACCGCCUUGAAGACCGGCGGCUGCUAGAC